GACGAACGCUGGCGGCGUGCUUAACACAUGCAAGUCGAACGGAAAGGCCCUGCUUCUGUGGGGUGCUCGAGUGGCGAACGGGUGAGUAACACGUGAGUAACCUGCCCUUGACUUUGGGAUAACUUCAGGAAACUGGGGCUAAUACCGGAUAGGAGCUCCUGCUGCAUGGUGGGGGUUGGAAAGUUUCGGCGGUUGGGGAUGGACUCGCGGCUUAUCAGCUUGUUGGUGGGGUAGUGGCUUACCAAGGCUUUGACGGGUAGCCGGCCUGAGAGGGUGACCGGCAACAUUGGGACUGAGAUACGGCCCAGACUCCUACGGGAGGCAGCAGUGGGGAAUCUUGCACAAUGGGCGGAAGCCUGAUGCAGCAACGCCGCGUGCGGGAUGACGGCCUUCGGGUUGUAAACCGCUUUCGCCUGUGACGAAGCGUGAGUGACGGUAAUGGGUAAAGAAGCACCGGCUAACUACGUG
rnacentral:rRNA from 1 species